rnacentral:rRNA from 1 species
AGAUUGAACGCUGGCGGCAUGCCUAACACAUGCAAGUCGAACGGGAGUAGCAAUACUCUAGUGGCGGACGGGUGAGGAAUACGUAGGAAUUUGCCCUUAAGUGGGGGAUAACCCGGGGAACCCGGAUUAAUACCGCAUGGCCUCGAAAGAGCAAAGUGGGGGAUCGCAAGACCUCACGCUUUUGGAGAAGCCUACGUCGGAUUAGCUAGUUGGUGAGGUAAUGGCUCACCGAAGGCGACGAUCCGUAACUGGUCUGAGAGGAUGAUCAGUCACACCGGAACUGAGACACGGUCCGGACUCCGUACGGGAGCAGCAGUGGGAAUAUGGACAAGUGGGCGCAAGCCUGAUCCAGACAAGUCGCCGCGUUGUGGUGAAGAAGG